rnacentral:lncRNA from 1 species
GGAAUAGAGCUUGACUUGCAGAGUCAACAAAAGCCCCUUGGGAAAGUUGGACUUAUACUUUGUCUACCCAGUUGCAGUACAGGGUUUCUAACCUGUGGCAAUCAUACUCCAAACAGUCAUGAAACUAGAGGCUCAAACAAUGGCUCCCUUUUAUCAGGGACUCUUAGAUGGGCCUCUGAGGGAAAUCUGACUGCCAUAUUCCCAAACAGUGACUCCUGUCAACAGGAAGCCGGGGCUGAGUGCAGUGAACCAAGUGAAUGGAGCACCCUUGCCACUAGUCCAGUGAAGGAACUGAGGAAAAGCCUGCAUCAGGACUUAAUAGCCAUAUCAGUACACAGAUUAAACUUCAGUUUCUACUUGUGGAUCUUGAAUUUCUCAGAUUUUUGA